rnacentral:lncRNA from 1 species
GCGAUUCCAGCUUGGCUCAAGCCUACGCGGCUACGGCAAUCCACUCGAGCUUGACUCCGUACGGCCGGCGGAGCCCCCGUGGCGGCACUCGCCCGCACGGCGGCGCACAGCCAGGCUUGGCUAAGUGUCAUGAACUGACGAAGGCGGACAGAAGACGGGAGUUAGAAAAUACGCUUUUGUUCUGAUGUUUACGUUUUAUGUAACGCUGUCAUGUGGGACCGGUCGGUCAGUGUCUGUAACCGGAAGGAGUCGGGCUUAUAGUGUACCUGAUCCAAAACUGCUGUUCAUCUUCUGAAACAAGGAAUAGAACACUCUUCAAGGGGAUCAAGGUCCUCUGCCCUCCUCACCGAUAUCCACCGUGUCUCUGCUCACGUUGACGGCGGUCCGCCGGCGGCCACGGGUGUUACAGUGGUAUCGGAUUCCGUUCGUCCUCGGCGCGCUGCUGCUAUGCCUCCAUUAUCCCGGCGAUUGACCUCGCAUAGCGACUGGUAGAGUGAGAUCGGGUUUUGUGCCGCGCAGCACCGGCCACUACCCUGAUUUCCUCGUAAUUACUGAGCACGCGGGUCGAUUUACGGAGGGGGUUCGCCUCGGCACAUCCGAUUUUACCGGGUCCCUUGCUCAUUUGGUCCGCAACAUCUUCUCCUACCGGAAUUUUGUGGAUCUGGUUUUCUUCCUCAUCUGUCUGGAGGCGCGGGUGUUGGGUUCGUUGGUGGAAUUUCUCUUGAGAGGCGGCGUGUGGUGGCGGUAGAACGGAUCAAUUCACUGUCCUGGGCGUCGCGUCGAUCUUCUCCGACACGUGUUUGCAGGAGCUGCUAGUCGACUGCUAUCAUCCGCGGCUUGCGCAGUUGCAGCGCGUGCCUCUGACCAGAGCUAACACCAGCACGCCGUGCAUCUCGUUGAGCUUUGGGUGCAGUCACAACGGGUCCUCCUAAGCCCUCAGUACAGACCACCUUGCUGUUAGCAAAGAUGGAGGAACAGACAACUAAAGAUGAUGCAAGAUGGGAACAAAUUACUGAAAGUCUGGAUCUCUUGUUUGCCAAGGUGGGUGAGAUUGAUGUAAGUCAGCAGAAAUUGGACACUCGCUUUGAUAUGUCUACAAAGGUCCUUGAGCAGCUGUUAAAAGAUCAACAGGUCUUGGCCAAGCAAAUGGAAAAUACAGGCCAGGCAGUGGCACAACUCACAUUGGCACAGAUGGCAGCACGGAGAGACCCCCCAAGUCCUACAGCAUCAGAGGUGUCCAUGGAGCAGCCAUUCUAUCAGAACACGACAAGGGCUGAAAGGGGCAGUGCUACUCCAAGGUUUGGUUUUCAGUCUGACAGACCAAGAAAGGAAGAUACGUUCCGUCCCAAGGUGGUUUUGCCUAAAAUGAAUUUUUCCCAAUUUACAGGACAACAUCCUUGCAUUUGGAAAGACAAAUAUCAAGAUUAUUUCAAAAUCUUUGACAUACCCAGGAGCAUGUGGGCUACUUAUGCUUCACUCAACAUGGAUGACAAUGCAGCUAAGUGGCUACAGAUGUAUAAGAAAAAGUAUGGCUUAGAAGAUUGGGAUAUUUUUAUCCAAGCUGUGGAGGCCAAGUUUGGAGAUAAUGAUUACAGGACGGCUUUGACACAACUAUUGGAAUUGCAAUAGCAAGAAUCCCUAGAAACUUAUAUACACACCUUUGAAGACCUGCAAUACCAUGUGACAAUGCACAACAGUGAAUUGGGUGAGCUAUUUUUUGUGACACGAUGCAUCAAGGGUCUUAAGUUGGACAUUGGUUGUGUAGUGCAAUCACAAGUCCAUGACACACUGGAAAGAGCUAUCUUACUGGCACGAAUACAACAACAGGUCUUGGACAGAGGGAAAGCAAAGUGGCAGAGAGCUUCUAGCACUGCCAGACAGCUCACUCAGUUACCAAAAGGAGACAUCAAAACCACUACACAAACUUCUCCUCUAUGGAGAGAGAGACAAACAAGGGAUUACAGACGAGCAAAUGGAUUGUGUUAUUUAUGUGCUGAACCAUAUGAUGCCAAUCACAAAGCUGUCUGUACAAAAAGACCUCAACCUCCAGCUCAAGCUAAUGCUUUAGUGCUGAAUGACUUGGAUGUGGUAUUGACUAAUGAAGUGUUGAACCAGCUGGCAAUAGAGGAUGCUUUGGCUGCAGAUUUCUGCCAAUUAUCUCUGAAUGCAAUUGCUAGCACCGAAGUGGGAGAAGCUAUGAAGAUUCGGGCAUUAGUCAACAACAAAGUCAUGCUAAUUCUGCUAGAUAGUGCUAGCUCCCACAGUUUUGUGAGCAGCUCUUUUCUAUCAACUGUGGGGAUUUCUGCUAUACCAACCACACCAAAACAGGUCAGAUUGGCAAAUGGUGACACAAAACUUAUUGAUCACUGGGUUCCUCAGCUAUCAUGGUGGGCCAAUGGUCAUACACUACAGACUAAUAUGCGAGUACUACCUUUGGGGGCUUAUGAUGCUAUCCUAGGGUAUGAUUGGCUAAAACCUCACAGUCCCAUGUGUUGUCAUUGGGAAGAUAGGACUAUACAAUUUGUGGAUAAAGGGAAGGAAACUGUACUCAAAGGAGUACCACCACCAUCACAGAAGCUGCAGGAAGUACCUACCCAUCAAGUGGUGAAAUGGUCAAAAGGGAAUGAUGUUUGGGCUCUGGCAGUGGUGGAAGCAGUCCAAGAGGUGCAGGAUGCAACAGGCAAUGACAGUAUUCAGCAAUUGCUCCAUAACUUUCAAGAUGUCUUUCACCCACCAAAUAAUUUACCACCUUCCAGGUUUUAUGACCAUCAGAUUCCAUUGAUCCCCAAUGCUAUUCCUAUUAAUUCAAAGCCAUAUAAAUAUUCUCCUCAGCAUAAGGAUGAGAUUGAGAAACAGGUCAAAGAGCUAUUAGCUGCAGGUCUCAUUACUCACAGUACUAGCCUUUUUGCCAACCCAGUGUUAUUGGUGUUAAAAAAAGAUGGAACUUGGCGUUUCUGUGUGGAUUACAGGAAAUUGAACUCUCUAACAGUGAAAAACAGAUUUCCAAUGCCUUUAAUUGAUGAGAUUCUGGAUGAAUUGGCUGGUACAAGGUAUUUCACAAAAUUAGAUAUGAGAGCUGGCUAUCACCAAAUCAGAAUGAAAGAGGAAGAUGAGUACAAAACAACCUUUAAGACACAUCAAGGGCACUAUCAGUUCAAGGUAAUGCCUUUUGGCCUGACUAAUGCACCAGCUACUUUUCAAUGCAUAAUGAAUGAGAUUUUAGCUCCUUUCCUUAGAAAAUUUGUUAUGGUCUUCUUGGAUGAUAUUUUGGUAUAUAGUCCAUCUCUGGAGACACAUAUUCAGCAUCUGGCUCUAGUCCUUCAACAGCUAAGAGAGCACAAGUUGUACAUGAAAGCAAGUAAAUGUUCCUUUGCACAACCACAACUAGAAUAUUUAGGCCAUAUUAUCUCUGCUGAAGGAGUGGCAACAGAUCCAAACAAAACUCAAGACAUGCUCAACUGGCCACCACCUACUUCAGUUACUGAAUUGAGGGGAUUUCUAGGUCUCACUAGUUAUUAUAGAAAAUUUGUUAAGCAUUAUGGUUGGAUUGCAAAGCCCCUAACUAACCUAUUAAGGAAGAAUCAGUUUAGUUGGAAUCCUCAAGCUCAGCAAGCUUUUGAUGCUCUCAAACAAGCCAUGUCCAGCACACCUGUACUAGCCUUACCAGAUUUCAACCAACCUUUUAUUGUGGAAACUGAUGCCUGUGAUGGAGGUGUUGGAGCUGUCUUAAUGCAAAAAGGCCAACCUGUAGCAUUUCUAAGCAAAGCAUUGUCCAACCAACAUAAGCAUUUAUCCAUUUAUGAAAAGGAGUUUCUGGCCCUUAUUAUGGCAGUUGAAAAAUGGAGGCACUACCUGCAGAACCAAGAGUUCAUCAUCAGGACUGAUCACAAAAGUCUGCAAUACUUGACUGAGCAAAAUCUGCAUUCUGACAUGCAAAAGAAAGCCAUGGCUAGGUUGAUGGGAAUGCAAUUUAAAGUGGAAUACAAGAAAGGUAAGGAAAAUGUGGCAGCUGAUGCUUUAUCAAGGAUACCUCAUUUAUUUGCUAUUCAGGCUGUUUCAUCUGCCCAACCAGAUUGGAUACAAGAAUUGCUUAACUCUUAUACCACAGAUCAGACAGCUCAACAAUACUUAGCACAACUUGCUAUUACUAAUCAUGAUGCUCAAGGAUUUAGUCUAGACAGAGGUCUCAUCAGAUACAAAGGGAAAUUGUGGGUUGCCCAGAAUUCUGCUCUCAGAACAAAGCUUAUACAUGCUUUACAUUCCAGUGCUAUUGGGGGUCAUUCAGGCAUUCAAGCCACUUUUCACAGACUCAACAAGCUUUUCUAUUGGAAAGGUCUCAAGCAAGAUGUGGAGGAUUUUGUGAAGCAAUGCUCCAUUUGUCAACAAGCUAAGCACUCUAAUAUUUUACCUUCUGGUCUCCUACAGCCUCUUCCAAUUCCAGCAGGAGCAUGGCAGGAUAUCUCCAUGGAUUUCAUAGAAGGCUUACCUAAGUCAGAAGGGUACAAUGUCAUCUUGGUGAUUGUUGAUAGAUUUACCAAAUAUGGCCAUUUCAUCCCACUUAAACAUCCUUUCACAGCCAAGACCAUUGCUAGAGCAGUUUUUGAUAAUGUGGUCAAACUCCAUGGAGUACCUAAAUCCAUUGUCUCUGACAGAGACAAGAUAUUCACCAGUGUCUUUUGGAAGGAGUUGUUUCAAUUAUUGGGAACUCACUUACUUAUGAGCACAGCCUACCAUCCGCAAACUGAUGGACAGACUGAACGAGUCAAUCAGUGUUUGGAGAUGUACCUGAGGUGUGCAGUACAUGAGGAACCCAAGCAGUGGAAAACAUGGCUGUCUCAAGCUGAAUUUUGGUAUAACACAUCCUACCACACUUCUUUGGGAUGCUCUCCUUUCAAAGCCCUCUAUGGACACGAGCCUAAUAUUGGAGUUGUUCCUACAGUCUCUCCACCUACAGCUUCUUCAGGGGCAGAGAUGGUUCAAGAACUGCAGGCCCAAGCUUCUAUUCUUAAGGAACACUUAUACCGAGCUCAAAACAAAAUGAAGACUCAGGCUGAUCGUAAAAGAUGACCACAAGAAUAUCAAAUAGGUGAACAUGUGCUCCUCAAACUGCAACCUUAUGCACAAAGCUCAUUGCUGAACAGACCUUACCCCAAGCUGGCUUUCAAGUAUUUCGGGCCCUAUCAGGUUCUGGACAGAAUUGGAGGAGCAGCCUAUCAACUGGAUUUACCGGAGGACUCACAAAUCCAUCCGGUCUUCCAUGUGUCCCAGCUCAAACCAUUUUUACCUAAUUACACACCAGUUUUCUCUGAUCUUCCUAAAGUUGUAGCUCUUGAUGGCAAAGACGUUGUGCCUGAACAAGUCUUGCAGCGGCGCUUGGUCAAGAAAGGCGGCAAAGCAGUCCCUCAAGCUCUCAUCAAAUGGACUCAUCUACCGGCGGAUGCGGCAACAUGGGAGGAUUGGUAUGUCGUGCAGAAGCGUUUUCCUGGGCAACUUGCUGGAGGACCAGCAAGCUCUGAAGGGGGGGGGCGGAGAUGUCAUGAACUGAUGAAGGCGGACAGAAGACGGGAGUUAGAAAAUACGCUUUUGUUCUGAUGUUUACGUUUUGUGUAACGCUGUCAUGUGGGACCGGUCGGUCAGUGUCUAUAACCGGAAGGAGUCGGGCUUAUACUGUACCCGAUCCAAAACUGCUGUUCAUCUUCUAAAACAAGGAAUAGAACACUCGUUCAAGGGGAUCAGGGUCCUCUACCCUCCCCAUCGAUAUCCACCGUGUCUCUACUCACGUCGACGGCGGUCCGCUGGCGGCCACGGGUGUUACACUAAGCUCAGAUCGGCAUGGAUUGCAGGUGGAGGUGCUUGGUGGGUGGAUUUCGUGGUGGUGUGCUGCUCUCUGUUCGAGCAAGGAAGGAGCAAACGCAAGCUUUUGGUGCUCUCUUUCUUGUCUUGGAAGUGGAGCAGCGCAGGAUUGAGAGGGAAGCAGAGAGAGGGAGGAGCUCAAGCUACUUGGAUUGGAGAAAAUUCAGAUGAGGGAGAGAGGUGCAUGCUGCAGCUGUUUGCUUUGCAGAUUGAAGGCGGGAGCAUAGAGAAAGAGAGGAGCAGAGCCGGAUUGGAGAUUGCAGAUUGGAGACGGCCUGCUCUCCUUGCUAGCAUCCUUCGUACGGAUAAAAGAACAGAUGAGAUCGCGCAUUGAGUUGUUAUUGCUAGUUCUUGGAGGAUGUCUUCAUCAAUGGCGGGCGACGACGAGCCGAUGCCGUGUUGGGCGGGUCCGACCAGUCGUCCGCUCGAUGACGCCAUGACGGGGAUGGGACUAUGGGAGACAGCAGCACGAGCUCGCGGCGAGAGAAGGGAAAGAGAAUGAAGGUUGGUAACUUCACCUGUAUAGCUGAUGCACGGUUAUCGUAUCAACUAAACCAAACCAAACACAAUCGUGUAC